rnacentral:rRNA from 1 species
UACGUAGGUGGCAAGCGUUGUCCGGAUUUAUUGGGUUUAAAGGGUGCGUAGGCGGCUUUGUAAGUCAGUGGUGAAAUAUGUCAGCUUAACUGAGAGGGUGCCAUUGAUACUGCAGAGCUUGAGUACAGAUGAGGUAGGCGGAAUUGACGGUGUAGCGGUGAAAUGCUUAGAUAUCGGCAAGAACACCUAUAGCGAAGGCAGCUUACUAGGCUGUAACUGACGCUGAGGCACGAAAGCUGGGGGAGCAAACAGG